rnacentral:rRNA from 1 species
CCUACGGGAGGCAGCAGUCGAGAAUCAUUCACAAUGGGGGAAACCCUGAUGGUGCGACGCCGCGUGGGGGAAUGCAGGUCUUCGGAUUGUAAACCCCUGUCAUGUAGGAGCAAAUUAAAAAGAUAGUACCACAAGAGGAAGAGACGGCUAACUCUGUGCCAGCAGCCGCGGUAAUACAGAGGUCUCAAGCGUUGUUCGGAAUCACUGGGCGUAAAGCGUGCGUAGGCUGUUUCGUAAGUCGUGUGUGAAAGGCGGGGGCUCAACCCGCGGACGGCACAUGAUACUGCGAGACUAGAGUAAUGGAGGGGGAGCCGGAAUUCUCGGUGUAGCAGUGAAAUGCGUAGAGAUCGAGAGGAACACUCGUGGCGAAGGCGGGUUCCUGGACAUUAACUGACGCUGAGGCACGAAGGCGAGGGGAGCGAAAGGGAUUAGAUACCCUAGUAGUC